rnacentral:rRNA from 1 species
UGGGGGGCCUUACGGCCCGAAUCCGGUGAUCCGUGGUGCCGAGAAAAGCUUCGGCGUCAGGCGCGUUGCCGCCCGUACCCCAAACCGACACUGGUGGUCAGGUAGAGAAUACCAAAGCGAUCGAGCGAAUCCUGGUCAAGGAACUCGGCAAAUUGCUCCCGUGCCUUCGGCAUAAGGGAGACCCCCUGCGGUGAUGAGCGGCGGGGGGUGGCACAGGCCAGGGGGUAGCGACUGUUUACCAAAAACACAGGAGCGUGCGAAGGCGCAAGCCGCUGUAUACGCUCUGACGCCUGCCCGGUGCCGGAAGGUUAAGAGGAUCCGUCAGCUUUCUGCGAAGCGGUGAAUUCAAGCCCCGGUAAACGGCGGUGGUAACUAUAACCAUCCUAAGGUAGCGAAAUUCCUUGUCGGGUAAGUUCCGACCUGCACGAAUGGCGUAACGACUUCCCCACUGUCUCGACCAGGAGCUCGGCGAAAUUGCAGUACGAGUAAAGAUGCUCGUUAAGCGCAGAAGGACGAAAAGACCCCGGGACCUUUACUAUACCUUGGUAUUGGCAUUAGGCGCGGAUUGUGUAGCAUAGGCGGGAGGCUUCGAGGCGGGUGCGCCAGCAUCCGCGGAGCCGCAAGGUGAAAUACCGCUCUGUUCUCGUUUGAUGUCUAACCUCGAACAGUCAUCCUGUUCAGGGACAGUGCCUGGCGGGUAGUUCAACUGGGGCGGUUGCCUCCCAAAGAGUAACGGAGGCGCUCAAAGGUCCGCUCGGCCCGGUUGGCAAUCGGGUGUCGAGUGUAAUCGCACAAGCGGGCUUGACUGCGAGAUCGACGGAUCGAGCAGGGACGAAAGUCGGAGAUAGUGAUCCGGUGCCGGCGCUCGGGCGCGGCAUCGCUCAACGGAUAAAAGGUACCCCGGGGAUAACAGGCUGAUCAUUCCCAAGAGUCCAUAUCGACGGGAUGGUUUGGCACCUCGAUGUCGGCUCGUCGCAUCCUGGGGCUGGAGCAGGUCCCAAGGGUUCGGCUGUUCGCCGAUCAAAGCGGCACGCGAGCUGGGUUCAGAACGUCGUGAGACAGUUUGGUCUCUAUCCUCUGCGCUCGUUGGAAUCUUGAGGAGGCCUGCCCAUAGUACGAGAGGACCUGGGUGGACGAACCUCUGGUAUGCCGGUCGUCACGCCAGUGGCGCGGCCGGUUGGCUACGUUCGGAAGGGAUAACCGCUGAAAGCAUCUAAGCGGGAAGCCUUCUCCAAGAUAAGGAUUCCAUGCGGCCCCGAGCCGCUGAAGACCCCAUGCAGAACACGUGGUCGAUAGGCCGGACGUGGAAGCCCCGCGAGGGGUGGAGCCGACCGGUACUAAUGGUCGAGAGAC